AAGCAAUUAGAGAGAGAGCUAAGAAGCAUAAAUGGAGAAAGAAGAACUUAUGUCCACCUUCUUCAUUUUCGCACCCUUGAUACAGCCCCACUAAAUCAGCUUGUUUAUUGGUGGAGAUAAACGCAUUUGAAGAUUGAUGAUUGAUGCUGAAAGUGAGUACAAGAGUGGUUACGGGUUUGGUGAACUUGAAGGUGUAGUUUGUGUCAAGAAGAUAGUCCAAUGGCAGCAAGAACAUGAUCUCAACCUCUAUUAAUCCAAGGUGCAGUUUAGUAGCGUUUGACAGAUAGUAGGUUCGGAUUGACGACUUAAAGUGGUGAUGGCUCGGAGACCUCGUCAGAUCUUAUUUUCCGCUGUGCAGAUCCAUG